AGCAUAUCAAUAAGCGGAGGAAAAGAAACCAACAGGGAUUGCCUCAGUAACGGCGAGUGAAGCGGCAACAGCUCAAAUUUGAAAUCUGGCCCUAGGCCCGAGUUGUAAUUUGCAGAGGAUGCUUUUGGUGCGGUGCCUUCCAAGUUCCCUAGAACGGGACGCCAGAGAGGGUGAGAGCCCCGUACAGUUGGACACCAAGCCUUUGUAAAGCUCCUUCGACGAGUCGAGUAGUUUGGGAAUGCUGCUCAAAAUGGGAGGUAUAUUUCUUCUAAAGCUAAAUACCGGCCAGAGACCGAUAGCGCACAAGUAGAGUGAUCGAAAGAUGAAAAGCACUUUGAAAAGAGGGUUAAACAGCACGUGAAAUUGUUAAAAGGGAAGCGCUUGUGACCAGACUUGCGUCCGGUGAAUCACCCAGCUCUCGCGGCUGGGGCACUUCGCCGGCUCAGGCCAGCAUCAGCUCGCUGUCGGGGACAAAAGCUUCAGGAACGUAGCUCUCUUCGGGGAGUGUUAUAGCCUGUUGCAUAAUACCCUUCGGCGGGCUGAGGUACGCGCUCCGCAAGGAUGCUGGCAUAAUGGUCAUCAGCGACCCGUCUUGAAACACGGACCAAGGAGUCAACCUUAUGUGCGAGUGUUCGGGUGUCAAACCCCUACGCGUAAUGAAAGUGAACGCAGGUGAGAGCUUCGGCGCAUCAUCGACCGAUCCUGAUGUUCUCGGAUGGAUUUGAGUAAGAGCAUAUAGGGUUGGACCCGAAAGAAGGUGAACUAUGCGUGUAUAGGGUGAAGCCAGAGGAAACUCUGGUGGAGGCUCGCAGCGGUUCUGACGUGCAAAUCGAUCGUCAAAUAUGCGCAUGGGGGCGAAAGACUAA
rnacentral:rRNA from 1 species